AUUGAACGCUGGCGGCAUGCCUUACACAUGCAAGUCGAACGGCAGCGGACCUUCGGGUGCCGGCGAGUGGCGAACGGGUGAGUAAUGCAUCGGAACGUGCCAUUGAGUGGGGGAUAACGUAGCGAAAGUUGCGCUAAUACCGCAUAUUCUGUGAGCAGGAAAGCAGGGGACCGCAAGGCCUUGCGCUCUUUGAGCGGCCGAUGUCAGAUUAGCUAGUUGGUGAGGUAACGGCUUACCAAGGCGACGAUCUGUAGCGGGUCUGAGAGGAUGAUCCGCCACACUGGAACUGAGACACGGUCCAGACUCCUACGGAGGCAGCAGUGGGGAAUUUUGGACAAUGGGGGCAACCCUGAUCCAGCCAUGCCGCGUGAGUGAAGAAGGCCUCGGUU
rnacentral:rRNA from 1 species